AAGUUCAAACUCUAGUACUCCACUGAGCCUAAUUUAUUGUGAAACACUUAUGGAGCCCUACAACAUUUGGAUAUUCCUUGUAGUUGCUAUGGUAACACCUCAGCAUUUGUCAGCUCAUAAGAAGGUCAGUCGUCCAGCCUCAAAAUAUGUACCGCAGAAAUCGCUUCCUUAUCUGGAGCUAUGAUUAUGAGUAUGUGGAUUACACACCAAUAUGGAAAAAUACCAAGAAAAUUAGAGGAUUCACGUCUUUUAAUAAGAGAACUGGUGAAAAUACAACGUAUACCCUUCACCACGUAUACAAGGAUUGCGCUAUUGUAAACAAGACAAAGAAUACAAAAAGAGAAGGUUACAAGCAAGUAUGUGAAGUGUGGGUGAGCGAUCAGUUCUUUGACAAAAACACCGACGGCCUCAGAUUUUGCACCGCAAAUUUCUGGAAGUGCUGCAAACCCCAUACCCCAAAACAAUACUUUAUGUCCGAGUGUGACGAAAGAAUUGGCAAAGUUAUUUCAGUGUAAUGCGCAAGGUCACGAACCAAUAGUCAAUAAUAUGAGUAAGUCUUUUUGUCAGCAGUAUCUCAAUAAAAUAUCAUGAAGCGUUGA
rnacentral:misc_RNA from 1 species